rnacentral:rRNA from 1 species
AUUGAACGCUGGCGGCAUGCCUUACACAUGCAAGUCGAACGGCAGCAUGGAGAGCUUGCUCUCUGAUGGCGAGUGGCGAACGGGUGAGUAAUGCAUCGGAACGUACCGUGUAAUGGGGGAUAACGUAGCGGAAGUUACGCUAAUACCGCAUACGACCUGAGGGUGAAAGCAGGGGAUCGCAAGACCUUGCGUUAUACGAGCGGCCGAUGUCAGAUUAGCUAGUUGGUGAGGUAAAGGCUCACCAAGGCGACGAGCUGUAGCGGGUCUGAGAGGAUGAUCCGCCACACGGGGACUGAGACACGGCCCAGACUCCUACGGGAGGCAGCAGUGGGGAAUUUUGGACAAUGGGGGCAACCCUGAUCCAGCCAUGCCGCGUGAGUGAAGAAGGCCUUCGGGUUGUAAAGCUCUUUCGGCCGGGAAGAAAUCGCACAGGCUAGUACUCUGUGUGGAUGACGGUACCGGCAUAAGAAGCACCGGCUAACUACGUGCCAGCAGCCGCCGUAA